ACGAACGCUGGCGGCAGGCCUAACACAUGCAAGUCGAGCGCCCCGCAAGGGGAGCGGCGGACGGGUGAGUAACGCGUGGGAACGUACCCCUUUCUACGGAAUAGCCUCGGGAAACUGGGAGUAAUACCGUAUAAGCCCUACGGGGGAAAGAUUUAUCGGGAAGGGAUCGGCCCGCGUUGGAUUAGGUAGUUGGUGGGGUAAUGGCCUACCAAGCCGACGAUCCAUAGCUGGUUUGAGAGGAUGAUCAGCCACACUGGGACUGAGACACGGCCCAGACUCCUACGGGAGGCAGCAGUGGGGAAUCUUAGACAAUGGGCGCAAGCCUGAUCUAGCCAUGCCGCGUGAGCGAUGAAGGCCUUAGGGUUGUAAAGCUCUUUCAGUGGGGAAGAUAAUGACUGUACCCACAGAAGAAGCCCCGGCUAACUCCGU
rnacentral:rRNA from 1 species